GGGCGCUUAGCUCAGUUGGUAGAGCGCUUGGAUCACACCCAAGAGGUCAGGGGUUCGAGUCCCUUAGCGCCCACCA
rnacentral:tRNA from 1 species